rnacentral:rRNA from 1 species
AGAGUUUGAUCCUGGCUCAGGAUGAACGCUAGCGGGAGGCUUAAUACAUGCAAGUCGAGCGGCAAGGUCUUCGGACCCUAGAGCGGCGCACGGGUGAGUAACGCGUACGCAAUCUGCCCUUCAGUGAGGAAUAGCCCUGGGAAACUGGGAUUAAUACCUCAUAACAUUAAAGAGCUGCAUGGCUUUUUAAUUAAAGUUCUGGCGCUGAAGGAUGAGCGUGCGUCUGAUUAGCUAGUUGGUAGGGUAACGGCCUACCAAGGCUACGAUCAGUAGGGGGCGUGAGAGCGUGACCCCCCACACGGGUACUGAGACACGGACCCGACUCCUACGGGAGGCAGCAGUAAGGAAUAUUGGGCAAUGGAGGCAACUCUGACCCAGCCAUCCCGCGUGAAGGAUUAAGGCCCUAUGGGUUGUAAACUUCUUUUGUUUGGGAAGAAAUCUGGACAUUUAUGUGCAGUUGACGGUACCUUACGAAUAAGCACCGGCUAACUCCGUGCCAGCAGCCGCGGUAAUACGGAGGGUGCAAGCGUUAUCCGGAAUCACUGGGUUUAAAGGGUGCGUAGGCGGUUUGAUAAGUCAGAGGUGAAAGCUAGCAGCUUAACUGUUAAAUUGCCUUUGAUACUGUCAGACUUGAAUCAAGUUGAGGUAGGCGGAAUGUGACAUGUAGCGGUGAAAUGCAUAGAUAUGUCAUAGAACACCAAUUGCGUAGGCAGCUUGCUGGGCUUGAAUUGACGCUGAGGCACGAAAGCGUGGGGAUCAAACAGGAUUAGAUACCCUGGUAGUCCACGCCCUAAACGAUGUUAACUCGAUAUUUAUUCUUCGGAGUGAGUGUCCAAGCGAAAGCGUUAAGUAACCACCUGGGA